CCAUUGUGUGAAUGCAAGCACACAGACCUGCUGAAUUUAAGCAUAUAAGUAGGCAGAGGAAGUGACACAAAAGUGGACUCACACAGUAGUUGCGAACGAAGAGUGAAAGACUCAAUUCGAAAUGUGUGGGUUUCUGCCCAUGACAUGAAAUCUCCGAAUGUGUGACUAAGGGUGGUGCAGGUGUGAGCCAUCUUGCAAGAGGGGAGGGCGUGCAUCAACAAGGGUGAGAAUCCUGUGUGUUGCUUGCAGACUUCUGUGUACAGUGCCCAUUUUCAGAAUCAUGCUCUUUGGAACUGGAGUGCAAAGUGGGUGGUAGCUCCCACUCAAAGUCGAACAUGACAUUGGGACUGACAGGGGAGAAGUACCGUGAGGGAAGCGUGAAAAGGACUUUGGAAAGAGAUUUAAAAGAGCCUGCACUUGCUGAGUGCCAAGCACACAGGAUGGCAGAGGUGGGAGAGAUUGCUGCGUGCGUGUGCAAUUCUGGCUGUCACCAGACAGGAGCUUGCCAUGCAUGCUUGUGCUGCAUGUGGAGAUUCUUUUCUUGAGUGCCAGUAUGUAUGUAUGUAGUCGAUGCCUGUUGGCAUUGCUUGUGGUGUAUCCUGGGAUAUGUGAUUGUGUGUGCCUUGUCUGAACGUGCCGAAGGCUCUGUUGCACUGUGACCCAAGCUGUCAGCAUGCCUGUCUGUUUUCACUGUUGGGGAGUCCAUGACCAGUGUGUUUGCGGUGAGCUCCAUUCUGUGUGACCCGUCUUGAAACACGGACCAAGGAGUCUAGCAUAGUUGCAAGCUUGUGGGGGAGAGAACUCAGUGCACAAUGAAGGUGGAGUCCCAGAGUGGGCAUGAGUGUUCAACCAAGCAGCAGGAUGAGGUUUGAGCCUGAGUAUGCCCGCUAGGACCCGAAAGAUGGUGAACUAUGCCUGGGAAGGGCAAAGUCAGGGGAAACUCUGGUGGAGGCUCACAGCGCUACUGACGUGCAAAUCGUUCGUCACACCUGGGUAUAGGGGCGAAAGACUAAUCGAACCAUCUAGUAGCUGGUUCCCUCUGAAGUUUCCCACAGGAUAGCUGGAGUGACCAAGUUUCAUCAGGUAAAGCGAAUGAUUGGAGGAAUUGGGGGCUGUAUGCUUCUGACCUAUUCUCAAACUUUUAAUGGGUAUGCUGCAGUGGUUGCUUUUCUGAACCUGCAGCUAAUAUUAUGUUCAAGUGGGCCACUUUUGGUAAGCAGAACUGGCGAUGAGGGGUGAACCUGAUGAUUGGUUAAGGCACUGAAAUUCUUGCUCAUCAGAUACCAUGAAGGGUGUUGGCUCAUUUAGACAGCAGGACGGUGGUCAUGGAAGUCGAAACCCGCUUGGGAGUGUGUAACAACUCACCUGCCGAAUGGACUGGCCCCGAAAAUGGAUGGUGCUUCAGCGGGUGGCUGAUACGAACUGGUGAUCUUGUUGUUUGAGUCAGUGUGUAGGGGGGUGUGGGUGUUUGUGAAGAAAUGUGUGGUGUGAGCCUGUUUGGAGCAGUUCCUGGUGCAGAUCUUGGUGGUAGUAGUGGCUAUUCUAGUGAGACCUUCGAAGACUGAAGUGGAGAAGGGUCUCAUGUGAACAGCAUUUGGACAUGGGUUAGCCGAACCUGAUGGAGAUAGGUGCUGUCAACGAGGCUUGGCCUCGUCCUUGACAGAGAGUGGGGCUAACAUUCCCCAGCCAGGACGUGGAUAGUGCAUGGCAACGUGAGCCAACUUGGUGAUGCAGAGGGAGGCCUUUGGAAGCGUUGUCUGUUCUUUUUGAUGGUCAAGUGCCCUGGAAACAGAUUGCCUGGCGAUGGGGAUUGUUGAUGAGUAAAGCGUCUUGUUUGCUGAGGUGUUCAGUGUGCUUCCAAAUGUCCUUGAAAAGCCAGAGGAAGGACUUAUUCACCCCCCUGGCCGUACCCAUAACCGCAUCAGGUCUCCUAGGUCAGCUGCCUCUGGUCUGUGGAGUGAACUAGGUGAGGGAAGUCGGCAAACCAGAUCCGGAACUUUGGGAAAAGGAUUGGCUCGGAGGGGUGGGUGUGGGGAUCCUUGUGCUGAUGCUUGAACCAAGCAGAAGGUGCUCAACGCCACUGGUGGAGAGUGGAUUUGUGCACGGUGAGAACUGCUGCACAAGGAGUGUUCGAUUGGACUCCUUUUCACACAAUGAACAACCAGCUUAGAACUGAUGCGGGCAAGGGGAAUCCGACUGUUUAAUUGAAACAAAGUAUUGCGAUGCCCUGAAAGGAUGUUGACACAAUGUGAUUUCUGCCCAGUGCUCUGAAUGUCAAAGUGAGGAGAUUCAACUAAGCGCGGGUAAACGGCGGGAGUAACUAUGACUCUCUUAAGGUAGCCAAAUGCCUCGUCAUCCAAUUAGUGACGCGCAUGAAUGGAUUAAUGAGAUUCCUACUGUCCCAAUCUACUGUCCAGCGAAGCCACAGCCAAGGGAACGGGCUUGGGUGAGUCAGCGGGGAAAGAAGACCCUGUUGAGCUUGACUCUAAUCCGACUUUGUGAAAUGACUUAGGAGGAGUAGGAUAUGUGGGAGCUCAGGUGAUCUUGAAAUACCACUACUUUUAAUGUCACUUUACUUACUCUAUCCAACUGUGCCCUGCCUCACAGCAGGUUUUUGCUUUCAAGGUUGCUCUUUUGGCGUGUUGAUUUGCGUAGAAGACGUCGUCCGGUGGGGAGUUUGGCUGGGGCGGCACAUCUGUAAAAGGAUAACGCAGGUGUCCUAAGGUGAGCUCAAUGAGAACAGAAAUCUCAUGCGGAUCAAAAGGGGAAACGCUUGCUUGAUUUUGCUUUUCAGUGUGAAGAUAAACUGUGCAAACAUGGCCUAUUGAUCCUUUAGGGCUGAAGGAGGUUCAAAUAGAGGUGUCAGAAAAGUUACCACAGGGAUAACUGGCUUGUGGCAGCCAAGCGUUCACAGCGACGUUGCUUUUUGAUCCUUCGAUGUCGGCUCUUCCUAUCAUUGAGAUGCAGAAGUCCCAAAGUGUCGGAUUGUUCACCCGCCAAUAGGGAACGUGAGCUGGGUUUAGACCGUCGUGAGACAGGUUAGUUUUACCCUACUGAUCAAUUGACAUUGCAACUGCAAUCGAAGUCAGUACGAGAGGAACACUUCGUUUGGAUAUUUGGCAAAUGUGGUUAGUUGAGAGGCUAGUGCCCCCAAGCUACCGUCUGCUGGAUCAUGACUGAACGCCUCUAAAUUGGAAUCCGUGUUGGUGAACUGAUGUUUCUUACCAGCUUCAACUGUUUGAGCCUUGGUAAAUGCAAGAUGUGGCAGUUUGUUCGUCAGUGUGGGUUUUUCCUUUUCUUGU
rnacentral:rRNA from 1 species